GACGAACGCUGGCGGCGUGCAUAAUACAUGCAAGUAGGACGCAGUUGCGAACGGGUGAGUAACGCGUAGGUAACUACCUAUUAGAGGGGGAUAACUAUUGGAAACGAUAGCUAAUACCGCAUACUAGUAGAUGGACCUGCGUUGUAUUAGCUAGUAGGUAGGGCAAUGGCCUACCUAGGCAAGGAGACAUAGCCGACCUGAGAGGGGGAUCGGCCACACUGGUACUGAGGCACGGCCCAGACUCCUACGGUAGGCAGCAGUAGGUAAGCUUCGGAAAUGGGGGGAACCCUGACCGAGCAACGCCGCGGGAGUGAAGAAGGUUUGCGGAUCGUAAAGCUCUGUUGUUAAGGAAGCGGUACUUAACCAGAUAGGGACGGCUAACUACGUGCCAGCAGCCGCGGUAAUUC
rnacentral:rRNA from 1 species